UGAAUGUACAGUACAGUGGUGGUUCAAGA
rnacentral:piRNA from 1 species